UCGUGUCGCUCCAGCAGCCCUCGUUGUCUGCCUGAACUCUCACCCUGGUGGUCGGGAAAUGUCAACGAGAGGCCCGUGCCGCAGCAAGGGGGCGUUACGGGGAAAAAACAAUUGGCUUUAUUGUUAUAUUUUCACGCAAUUCGCCUUUUCUUAGUCUUGCCACUAGAGUAAGCAUCAAAAACGACCAGCACGCCGACCGCCAAGUCCGAUCCGCCGUGGACUGCUGUUCGCAUCCUUCAUCUGUCUCGUCUCGUAUUGCAAUCAUUGCCAAACAUGAGAAAUGAAACAUUUGUGCACUGGGACUGGAUGCUCUUACCAGCACACCCCACUUCCGCCAUGACACCCAGCAGAGGAUUCUGGGAUUGACGCAAGCAUCACUCCCACUGAUGGCCUGGACCAGGUUUCAGCUGGCCUGCUGAAGCUAUGGGGAGCUGCUGGAGCUGUCUAUACAGAGACACUAUCCGAGACAACCAUCUCAACAAAUUUAAGGUGACUAAUGUGGACGAUGAGGGAAAUGAGUUGGGCUCAGGAACCAUGGAGCUCACACAGACAGAGCUCAUUCUGCACACACGCAAACGUGAUGCCAUCCGGUGGCCAUACCUUUGUCUGCGCCGAUACGGUUAUGAUUCCAACC